CGAAGUUGUUCAUUCUAGGGGCCAACAACAUUACUAAUUCUUUAAGGUGUGUGUAUGCGUAUACAUUAUAUAUAUAUAAUGUACAUAUAUAUAAGAUAUAUAUAUAUAUCUUCAAUAUUGUGAUACUGUUGGCAGGAGGUGGGGAGCCAGGGUACAGGGGAAGUUCUGCAAAUUAAAAUAUAGCAUGAUAAAUUCUAGCCAGUUAUCCAAACCAAAUGAAAGGGAAUUAUUCCUAGAUUAUCAGAGGAACUCGCUGGUCAGAUGGCUAUUGAGCAGCCUAAUUCUCAACCUUUGUCUUAGGAAUCUAGAGAAAACAUUUUUCAGGAUCUUUGCUGGGACUUUCAAAGAAGAUCCAGGCAAGAAAGAAACAGUUUGUAUAUGUGUCUACACCAUGCAGCAUGCAUGUCUGGAGAGUGUGUGUGUGUGUGUGAGUGUGUGUAUCUCUUUGUGGGGUCAUCAUCUAACGCUCUUUGUGAUGCACAUUCUAAAUUAGGCAAAAGGGAUGCAAUCUUUCAAAUGCAGAUCAUGUUUGCAUUAGAAGAGCAAUGAGAACACUUGUCAGUUUCAGAACAUUUAUGUGCUAGAAGUACUGUUAGCAGAAGAGCAGUUUAGAUAAAUUCAAGACUUUUUUUGCUGAUCACAAACAUUAAGCUUCACACCUGAAGCCCUCAACCCCCUGCUGUGCUCUAAUCCUAGCACCAUUCACCCUUAGAGACUCAGAGUGCUGUGCCUCAGCUCUCAAACCUUUGAUUGCCCUUAGUUUGAAUGCCACCACCUGCAAAAUGCCUUUUUAUUCCCUUUGAGCCUCUUGAGAAGGAAGUAAAAAUGAUAAUUCAUGACAAACAUUAAUUAAUUGUUUACAAGAUGAUCUUUUCUUUUUCCAACUUCUGUUCAGCAGACAUGUUGAACCGCAAGAUCCCACUCGCAAUGCCAGAAUUCGUCAAGAGGCCUGCAUUGUUGUUUCUCACUGAGGCAUAGGACCCACUACAGGCCAUUGUUUCUCCAGCUCAAGUGGGCCUGUCUGGUUCACAUUGGAAGAAUGGGGGCGACAUGCGUGAGUUCCUGAGUAUAAAAGAACUACCGGUUCUAGGGAGGACUGGGAGUUUAGCACUAAUGCAGAGUAAAUAAACAU
rnacentral:lncRNA from 1 species